rnacentral:rRNA from 1 species
GCCAGCAGCCAUAUCACUCUGCAACUCACAACUGGUAACCCACUGAAGCUAAGCAGAUGUGAGCCUGGUCAGUAACUGGAUAAGAGACCUCCUGGAAAAACUGGUUGCUGCUGGAA